rnacentral:lncRNA from 1 species
GUGGGGGACCUUCACACGCCUUCUUGUAGGCCAGAUCUGCUUGCUCUGAGGUGGAACAGCUGACCCAGCCCUUAAACUUCUCCUUCAUUUCCUUCAGCAAGUCGUCCAUGCAGUCCUGGAGGUAGCAGUGGUAGUCGGAGGGCUCCAUGGUGCUGCUGCUGCCCCGGAGCUCUUCCAGGCUGAGGGGACGAAGGUCCUGCUCCGUGUACGAGUUCCGGCCCUGGCUCAUUUCUUCAGGUAUCUGGAAGAGCUUCUUGCAUUCAGCAAUCAUAUGGGCUAGCCCUUGGGUUGCAGCCAAAUUUUCAUUUAGGUCUUUCUGAUCAGGUUUUCCUAGACUCGGUUUUCUUUGCAUCACCCUUGGGGAGGAAUUCUC